UACGAAGGGGGCUAGCGUUGUCCGGAAUCAUUGGGCGUAAAGCGCGCGUAGGCGGCCAGAUAAGUCCGGUGUGAAAGUCACAGGCUCAACCUGUGAAUGCCGCUGGAAACUGUCUGGCUAGAGUCCGGAAGGGGCGAGUGGAAUUCCUGGUGUAGCGGUGAAAUGCGCAGAUAUCAGGAGGAACACCAAUGGCGAAGGCAGCCUUCUGGGCCAACACUGACGCUCAUGCACGAAAGCGUGGGGAGCAAACAGG
rnacentral:rRNA from 1 species